UACGUAGGGUGCGAGCGUUAAUCGGAAUUACUGGGCGUAAAGCGUGCGCAGGCGGUGAUGCAAGACAGAUGUGAAAGCCCCGGGCUUAACCUGGGAAUUGCAUUUGUGACUGCAUUGCUAGAGUGCGGCAGAGGGAGAUGGAAUUCCGCGUGUAGCAGUGAAAUGCGUAGAUAUGCGGAGGAACACCGAUGGCGAAGGCAGUCUCCUGGGCCUGCACUGACGCUCAUGCA
rnacentral:rRNA from 1 species